GGGGAAUCUAAGUAGGGAGGAGUGGUCGGGAAUCGGUGUGGGGCGAGCGCUAACUGUGAGAUGCGAAGGAAGGUUGUUGAGAGACAGGAAAUAAGGGAUCCUGAAGGGCUGGGUGAGGAGAUGAUUAUUUGAAGAUAACUGUGUUUCCAUUAGGUCUUGGAAUGGAUUAUGAAGAUCAUUUCUCGCAGUAUAUGGCAGUGGCCCUGUAACAUUGCAGAGAACCUCAAGACAAGUUUUGGCGGCCCUGGAUUCACCUUUCUCCUCCCUUCAUUAGCCCAGAGGAUUCUGUUCCUGAUAUGCUGGUUCAGAUCCAGAGGUUUUGACCCUGGUCCAGGGCUUUGAUUGUGAUCUUGAGUGAAUGCUAUGUGUUGGUGGGAUUUAAACCACAACCCAGUGACGGGAUUCUAGGAAAAGUAGUUCCCAGACCUCCAGCCUCCCUCCUCUCCUGUGAGUCCAGAGGGGAGUAGAGUGGGUGAAGAAUCUGUCCGAAAUGCAGGAGACACAGGAGACACGGGUUUGAUCCCUGAGUUGGAAAGAUCCCUUGGAGGAGGAAAUGGCAACCCAUCCAGUAUUCUUGCCUGAAAAAUCCUGUGGACAGAGGAGCCUGGCAGGCUAUAGCCCAUGGAGUCUCAAAGACUUGGACACGACUAGGCGACUAAACACACACGCUCACGCUCACACUUCUGCCUCCAUCCUUUUUUCUUCCAGGAUUGUGUGCUGCUUGUAACAGUGAAAAAUCAUGGAA
ensembl:lncRNA